CCUACGGGAGGCAGCAGUAGGGAAUCUUCCACAAUGGACGAAAGUCUGAUGGAGCAACGCCGCGUGAAUGAAGAAGGCUUUCGGGUCGUAAAAUUCUGUUGUCAGAGAAGAACGAUAGUGAGAGUAACUGUUCAUGCAUUGCCGGUAUUCGACCAGAAAGCCACGGCUAACUACGUGCCAGCAGCCGCGGUAAU
rnacentral:rRNA from 1 species